GGCUGCAACUCGCCUACAUGAAGUCGGAAUCGCUAGUAAUCGCGGAUCAGCAUGCCGCGGUGAAUACGUUCCCGGGCCUUGUACACACCGCCCGUCACACCAUGGGGGCCGGUAAUACCCGAAGUCAGUAGUCCAACCUCGUGAGGACGCUGCCGAAGGUAGGAUUGGCGACUGGGGUGAAGUCGUAACAAGGUAUC
rnacentral:rRNA from 1 species